CUCCCUCCUUCACAAUCAAGCAGGUGUCAACAAUGUCUCUUGGGUGUGGCAAGGACUAGUCAGGAGCCUUGAUGGUAGGAAGGUUGCCAUGAAGAUGUGGGUUCAGAGGGAGAUUCCAGGGAGGGGCAACUGUAGACUCCCUCCCAGUGAGAGUGGGGUUCCCAGGUGGCCCAUGUCUCACAGUCUCAACCAAGUGUUUCAUUGGAUGCAUCUUGUUCUCCCUCAUCCACUCGUUACCAUCCAGGCCCUAUCUUCUGGGGACCGCCACAAGCCUUGAAGUGAGUGAGCUAUGUUCCUGAAUUUCCCCCAGAAACUGAACUGAAGUAGUCAAGAGUCAUCUCAUAUGUGGGAGGCGACAGAUCCAGAGUUUAAACUCAUGUGACCUCAAGGGUC